rnacentral:misc_RNA from 1 species
GAUCCUAGUGGAUGUACAUUUACCCUGGGAUUUGAUAACCUUAGAAGCCAGAGUGUUACUCCACCUCAGUGGACUAUGCGCAACGUUGAUGAUAGGUAAACAUAACUCUUGACAACUCUUUCUCCUUCCUUUACUGAACGAGGAAAGAAUGCUGAAUUGAACAUGUUCUUUGUCUUAUGUGAUGCUAUUUCUUUUUUUUUAAUUUUGUUUUACUAAUGAACUAUUAUUUUCAGUUCAUUUUCUUCAUUUAAAUUUCUCUUGUAGGAACCGUCUUAUAUUUUGCAUCUUAAACAUCUGCAAAGAUGUAC